AGCAAUGUAAGAAAAAUCUGUGUACUAAAAAUGUGAAAAUAGUUUCCUGGUUUGUGUUUUCAUUCUCCCAAUAUAGGUUUUGGAUGACAAGCUUGUAUUUGCAAAAAUACACACCCUGUGGGAUGUGCUCUGUACAUACGCUGAGAUACUGUACAUAAAAUUGCCUCUGAAUCCCAAUCAUCUGAAAACCCUGUUCUCAGCCUUUGAUACCUUCAGCUGUUUUAUGAAAGUCCUCCAAGUGGAUGAAAGUAUCAACAACCGGAACAAGAGUUUUUCAUUGCCCUAUUUGAGAAGAGCUGCGUGAACGACUUUUAUAUUCAGGAUAGAGAUACAUUCAUCAAUCCAACCACCAGGAGCCGCACUUGCAACUUCAGCCUCCAUCAGAGGACCUCAGCUGCCCCAGCGAACAGGGCCUUCUGUACAGGGAAUGUGCUCCUCCUCGAAGCAUAGACAAGAAGCAGCCCUUAGAUCUCAUCAGGAAAUUCUACGGAGAGAAGGUCGGAAUCUACUUUGCUUGGGCUGGGCUAUUACAUUCAGAUGCUCCUCCUGGCAGCAGUCGUGGGGGUGACUUGCUUUCUUGUGACCCAGGUGGCUGUCUCCUUGAACUGAUGAUGCAGCUGACAAUAAUCAUGGGAGGACAGUCCAUCUGGAAUAACAUACAAGAGGUGUUACUUCCGUGAGUACUAAGUCAUGUGAUCUUGGGGUGAGAACGGCCCACCCAUCCAAGUAAUUUUCCUGCAUGCCCAUCUCUAAAACAGGGGAGACUCUCUGCUUAUUAAAGCUCUCCAGAUAAGAUGAUCCAGCCAACAGUGUAAACAUACCUCCUGUUUAAUAAUUAUGUUUAAAUAUCUUCCUUUUUAUGUUUAAAUUAAAUCCUCAAGUGCUAUAGUUUCUGCUUAUUAGCCCAUCACUGGGGACUGACUGAUCAGAGCCCGUUGAGAGAUGGCCCUUUUUGGGGCCGUGAACUAAGUUUUCCCACAACUUCCUGCAACUUUCUCCUCCUUUUAUACAUGCAUUUAAAAAUCCAUAACAGGAAUUUGUUGAGUGCCUAGUAUGUGUUAGUCACUGUAUUAAAUGUUGUACAUAUAUGUGUGUGUGUGUGUACAAUUUAAUCACCCAAACAAUCCUUAUUCUUAUCUUCCUUUUCAAAUGAAGAUCCUGUGGCUUAAAGAGGGUAAAUGAUUUGCCCAAGUUCUCAUUGCCAAUAAGAGACCACUGUGGGACUCAGA